CUCAGCCCCAACUUUAAAACAUCACUCAAAUGCUCCUUUUGGCCUCUCUCAGCCUAGGUAAACAUUAAAAUUCCAUUGUCUAUAAAGCAAAUAGAAAUUCACUCAUGAGAAUCCAUAUAAGGGGCUUUUAAAUGAAGUAGUGCUCAAGAGUUCAGCCUGGAAGGUAUUCAAGGCAAGGGGCUCAGGUCUACCAUCCCCAGCCCAGAUAACUCGCCACCUCUGCGUGAAUGCGCCCAGCUCUGGAAGGUGGGCAGAUGGCCUGGCAAUGUGUGAGCAGCUUCACCUCCUUCCUUCCUCCCUGUUGCAAGCAGCCAAACCUGCUGGAGAAGCCUAGGCCACACAACAGGAGUUGGGUUCACUCACUGUCUGUGCCUGGUGGCUUCUGCUCAUUCAUGUCUUCCAUUCCCUGUGGCAAAAGGAGGUUGUGUGGAAAUCCAGACAUGCUCUGAAGGGGGUGUCUUGAUUUUUUUUAUUUUGUUUUAUUUUUGGAUCCCUUGGCAUGGUUACCUGCACACGGGAGUUAUUCAAUACGUGUUAGCUGGGUCACUCCCUUCCAGUCCACUAAACUCCAUGUACUUGAAAUCCUUUCCAUAGACUCUCCUGGAUAUCUUGCUCUACAAGAGCAGUCCCAGGCACCCCAGUGCCUUCUGCCUGGCUCUGUAGGUCUUGUUGCCGGGCAUUGUCUUUAUGUGCUCAGCUCUGUUCAGACUUCUUCCUACUCACCAUGCCCUGCUAAAGCUACAGAGCCACCAACUUGACUCUGAAAAUGGAGACCUUGAGUUCAAACUACCCAAGUAAACACAAACUCCAAAAUGAUGUACAAAUAUAGGCAAAACAUCAAGAAAUGAUGGAUUUUCUAUGAAGGAUCAUAUGAGAUAGCAAUAGUGAGAGGAAUGGUGGGCUAAGGAACCACUUUUAAGUAUUCAGACAAAGCAAAUAAAAAUGAAUUGGUUAUAGUAAUAUUAAGAGAAU
rnacentral:lncRNA from 1 species